UUUCUUCAUCGACAUAGUUUAACCUUUGGUUUUGGCAGCUAACGCUUUGCUCAGAUAAAGUGAAGAGAAGUGGGUAGGGUGGGCAAGAACAGCAGCAUCUUUAGGGAAUGAUUUUGCUGAAGAAAAAUAUGCUUUCAGCCAUCCUUUCCAACAUAUUCUAUUAAAUUCAACUCUAUAAGUCUGCAUUAUUUUAUUAUUUAAGACACACGAGGGGACCCCAAAGACUCUGCACAAGCCCCCUGAUAAUGUUUAUAGUAGAAAUGAAAGCCAGGAUACAUGAUGCCAAAAGAUGGACUCAAGUCAUCCAGUUUUUCUAGAGAGGAUUACUGCGUAUGCCAUUUGGUUGGAAAGAUAUAGAAAGAAGAAGACAUGGUCCUAGCCUUGGAAA
rnacentral:lncRNA from 1 species